UACGUAGGGUGCGAGCGUUUGUCCGGAAUUAUUGGGCGUAAAGGGCUCGUAGGCGGUCUGUUGCGUCGGGAGUGAAAACUCAGGGCUUAACCCUGAGCCUGCUUCCGAUACGGGCAGACUAGAGGUAUGCAGGGGAGAACGGAAUUCCUGGUGUAGCGGUGAAAUGCGUAGAUAUCUGGAGGAACACCGGUGGCGAAGGCGGCAUCCUGGACCAAUACUGACGCUGAGGAGCGAAAGCCAGGGGAGCAAACGGG
rnacentral:rRNA from 1 species